GUAGUCCACGCUGUAAACGAUGGGUACUAGAUGUUGUGGGAAUUGACCCCCGCAGUGUCGUAGCUAACGCGUUAAGUACCCCGCCUGGGAAGUACGGCCGCAAGGUUAAAACUCAAAGGAAUUGACGGGGGCCCGCACAAGCGGUGGAGCAUGUGGUUUAAUUCGAUGCUACGCGAAGAACCUUACCUAGAUUUGACAUCCCUUGACCGCGGUAGAAGUACCGCUUCCCCUUCGGGGGCAAGGAGACAGGUGCUGCAUGGCUGUCGUCAGCUCGUAUCGUGAGAUGUCGGGUUAAGUCCCUUAACGAGCGCAACCCUUAUCCCUAGUUGCCAUCAUUCAGUUGGGCACUCUAUGGAGACUGCCGGUGUUAAACCGGA
rnacentral:rRNA from 1 species